rnacentral:rRNA from 1 species
AGCAGCCGCGGUAAUUCCAGCUCCAAUAGCGUAUAUUAAAGUUGUUGCAGUUAAAAGCUCGUAGUUGAAUUUCGGGAUUGACACAUCGGUCGUGCCUUAAGGGGUAUGAACUGGUGUAGUCAAUUUCUCACCUUCUGGAGAACCGCGAUGCCCUUAAUUGGGUGUCGUGGGGAACCAGGACCUUUACUUUGAAAAGAUUAGAGUGUUUAAAGCAGGCAUUUUGCUUGAAUACAUUAGCAUGGAAUAAUAAAUAGGACGGCAUGAUUCUAUUUUGUUGGUUUCUAGGAUCACCGUAAUGAUUAAUAGGGAUAGUUGGGGGCAUUAGUAUUCAAUUGUCAGAGGUGAAAUUCUUGGAUUUAUUGAAGACUAACUACUGCGAAAGCAUUUGCCAAGGAUGUUUUCAUUAAUCAAGAACGAAAGUUAGGGAUCGAAGACGAUCAGAUACCGUCGUAGUCUUAACCAUAAACUAUAGCCGACUAGGAAUCAGACGAUGUUAAUUUUUAAUGUACUCGUUGGCACC